AGUGGCGGACGGGUGAGUAAUGUCUGGGAAACUGCCUGAUGGAGGGGGAUAACUACUGGAAACGGUAGCUAAUACCGCUUAACGUCGCAAGACCAAAGAGGGGGACCUUCGGGCCUCUUGCCAUCGGAUGUGCCCAGAUGGGAUUAGCUAGUUGGUGGGGCAACGGCCCACCAAGGCGACGAUCAGUAGCCGGACUGAGAGGUUGACCGGCCGCAUUGGGACUGAGACACGGCCCAGACUCCUACGGGAGGCAGCAUG
rnacentral:rRNA from 1 species